AACUCGCCGAGGGUGGCGGCGGCGCCAUUUUGAAUUGGCUGCGGGUCCGAGGAGGUGGUUGCCCAGCGCGGCUCCGCGCCCCUCGAGAAAGCAGCGAGAAGGAAGGAGCGAGGUCUGAAUAUGGCAGCGAAUAGGAACUUGAAGCAAGUGCGGAUCGAGAAUAGCUCCCCGGCGACGCCGCUGGGCAUGGUAGGGGGUGGCGGCAGCCUGAAAGGAUUGCGGGGCCUAGAACCAGAGAGCGAGGCAGCGGCCGCCAUGGCGGUAGUGCCGGGCAAAGAAGCUGGCGACGAAGAGCAGGAGAUCGGGUUCACUAUCGACAUUAAGAGCUUUCUCAAGCCCGGGGAGAAGAGCUACACGCAGCGCUGCCGGCUGUUCGUGGGGAACCUGCCCACCGACAUCACCGAAGAAGACUUCAAGCGCCUCUUCGAGCGCUACGGGGAGCCCAGCGAGGUCUUCAUCAAUCGAGACCGUGGCUUUGGCUUCAUUCGCCUGGAAUCUAGGACACUGGCUGAAAUAGCAAAAGCAGAACUCGAUGGUACAAUUUUGAAGAGCAGACCACUUCGAAUUCGAUUUGCCACACAUGGAGCUGCCUUAACUGUCAAGAAUCUUUCACCUGUGGUUUCUAAUGAGCUGCUGGAACAAGCAUUCUCUCAAUUUGGCCCGGUGGAAAGAGCUGUUGUUGUAGUAGAUGAUCGUGGCAGAGCUACAGGAAAAGGUUUCGUAGAAUUUGCAGCAAAACCUCCAGCACGGAAAGCUCUAGAAAGAUGCAGUGAUGGUGCAUUCUUGCUUACAACAACACCUCGACCUGUUGUUGUAGAACCAAUGGAGCAAUUUGAUGAUGAAGAUGGGCUCCCAGAGAAACUAAUGCAGAAAACACAACAGUAUCAUAAGGAAAGAGAGCAACCUCCACGUUUUGCUCAGCCUGGAACAUUUGAGUUUGAGUAUGCUUCACGGUGGAAGGCUCUUGAUGAAAUGGAAAAGCAACAGCGUGAGCAGGUUGACAGGAACAUUAGAGAAGCCAAAGAGAAACUAGAGGCAGAAAUGGAAGCAGCUAGACAUGAGCAUCAGCUAAUGCUGAUGAGGCAAGAUCUCAUGCGGCGCCAAGAAGAGUUGAGACGUUUGGAAGAACUUCGGAAUCAAGAACUUCAAAAACGCAAACAGAUACAACUGAGACAUGAAGAAGAACAUCGACGUCGUGAAGAAGAAAUGCUACGCCAGAGGGAACAAGAGGAAUUGAGACGACAGCAGGAGGGAGGAUUUAAGCCGAAUUUCAUGGACAAUGGUACUAUUACAAUAUUAAAAUGCAGAUGAAGAUGGACUUGUGCAGAAUUCUUCUGCUGCCUUAUGAAUACGUAAGGGCAAGAUCCUAAUCCAAAUUGCAGGAUAAGGUUUUAUUGAAAGCUACUGGUGGCUAUACAUCCUUGAAAAUGGAAGAUAACUUUCUGCUAUACCAGGAUGAUGUGUAGAAUUCUGCUCUUCGGGUCAGUAUUAAAAGUUUUGGUAGUCCUGCAGACCUGAGCAAAGAGAGCCAACAAAUUGUUUUGGUAAAAGGAUGAGAGAGUAAUCAUCAGCAUGGAGACUUACCAGUACUGAUCUAUUUAUCUGCUUUUCUCCCCCCACCAACCACCCCAGAUAGGAAAAGAAGCAAUGGAAAAAUAUGAUGACGUUCAAGAUAAGUUACAUCUUCUUCAACAAAGAAGGUGAUACCCAGUGUUAAGCAAAGUCAAGCACUUUAUUAUAAAACUGAUGUGAGACAACUUUGAUGUACAACUUAGCUUUUGACUCCUACUACAACCUACGCUGUACUGGGAGGUAGACUUAGUGUUCAGGUCUCCAGUACUGGUUUUGGAAAAUGGCUUUGAUAAAACAAUUUAAAUCUGCAGAUACUACAAUUAGAGUCAAGGUAAAUGGUGCAUUAAAAUACUGGUUUUAGGUUAAACGAUUGAUUUUGGUUUAAUAAACACUAUUGGAAGUAAAUGAGUAAGAAAAUAUUUUUAAGCACUAAUAUGUAACAAAAUAAGGGAGAAUACUUACUUUUAAAGAAAAAAAUAGUCCAAAUUUUAUUUAAGUUACAGUAUCAAGUUUAAAAUAGAACAGUAAUAGUAGUUACCCAGUAAAAAUUGUGUGAACCAUCAACAGUUUAGAGGAACUGUGAGGAAAUGUUCACCAACUGGAAGAUUGACGCUGCAGUGAGAUUUCAUGAUCUAUGCAGUUAAGUUUCAUACUUGCAAGUUAUGAUAAAAGUGAUACUUGCUCUCUUAAUGUGGCCUAAAAAAGAUGAACAAUAAAAAACAAUGAAAUGAACAGUGAAAAAUUAAAAUUAGUUUUGAUGUGUUAGAUUUUAACAUUGCACUGUAACGUAUCAUCAGUAUAACUGUAUUUUUCAAGGUUUCU